CCAGAUCCCAGUGAUCCCAAAUCCAGGCCCUUCCCAUCCCAGAUCCAUCCAUUCAUCCCAAAUCCCAGUGAUCCCAAAUCCAGGUCACUCCCAUCCCAGAUCCAUCCACUGAUCCCAAAUCCCAGAUCCCCGUGAUCCCAAAUCCAGGUCAUUCCCAUCCCAAAUCCCAGUGAUCCCAAAUCCCAGUGUUUUCCAUCCCAGCUCCAUCCACUGAUCCCAGAUCCCGGUGAUCCCAAAUCCAGGCCCUUCCCAUCCCAGAUCCCAGUGAUCCCAAAUCCCAGUGAUCCCAAAUCUAGGUGUUUUCCAUCCCAGAUCCAUCCAUUGAUCCCAAACCCCAGAUCCCAGUGAUCCCAAAUAUUGGUCCUUCCCAUCCCAGAUCCAUCCAUUCAUCCCAGAUCCUGCUGAUCCCAAAUCCAGGUCCUUCCCAUCCCAGAUCCCGGUGAUCCCAAAUCCCAGUGGGUGUUUUCCAUCCCAGCUCCAUCCAUUGA